ACACCCUCUGUUGGUCUCUCCCCCUCUUGGGACCAUCACUGCUGCUGCUGCUGUCCUCCUCCCACACCCGAAUCCCCCUCCCUGCUGCUACAUUACAGCUCCUCCUCUCUUCUUCCUCUCUCUCUCUCUUUCUCUCUCCUCAUCCCUUCACUUCUUCUUCCUCCCACAGCUGCAGCCACACAGUAUCCUACCUCCGACCUCACCUGGAGGUCCCCGCCAUCGGUUUUUUUUUUCUUUUGAAAGUUGUUUUAUUUCAUUUGUCUCUGCUUGGGGGUGAGUUGAGCAACAACACAUAAAUAGUGUUGUCUCCUCACUUCUGCCCCUCCAUCGUUGAACUACCCCGGUUGCCUGUGCCUCGUGCGGCCACCCUGUUGUGUCCCAGCCCAGGGGGUUGGUUGGCGGCGGCGCAUCCGUGACCAGCAGUGAGCGGCAGGAGAAGGACCGGAAGAAGAGGGGUUCCAAAGCAUUGACUGCGUCCCUCCCCCACCCCCGGUAAUGAUCAUUUUGGUCAAAUAUUUUGAAGCACCGAAGAGGCUGUAGAAGACAAGGCCAUGGGUCUUUGGACUAACUUAAGUACAGCUAUGAAGUUAUGAAGGCUCGGAAAGCCAACAGCUGGGCAGAAACUCAAGAGGAAAUACUGGCUGAUGCCAUCGAUGAGAAAUGGAAGGUUACUCAAGACAGUGCAGUACUAAUUUGUAGAUACUGAAACCAUGAGGGCUCAUUGGACCACUCUGAAGCAAGAGUCUGGAUGAUCCAGUCCGAAAUCCAUGACAAGCAACUGGCGUGAUGAUAUAAUUUCAAAUUGGGAACAGCCAAUCCUCCUCAAUCUUUUGCAUCUUGCAUGACCCUGAACUUAAUUCUUGGUUUUUUAUUGGCCCAGAUAAAAGAAUUUCUAUUCCUCUGCCACAUGUUCAAUGUUUUAUCCUCAAUUUUAAUAAGGAUAAUUUGAAAUAGAAUGUUCAUCUUUGGUAAAAUAUUCAUUUUAACCGAUGCUAUCCUUCCCAGCCAAGAAAGAUUUAUUUUUUUCCACCUGGUUAGAUCUGCCAUAAUAAGGCUCCACAAAGGUGAAUAAUUACUCUUGAACAGGUCUUUAUUAUUUACUGUUAAAUUAAUCCCUAAAUAUUUAAUUGGUUUUUCUGUCAGUUGAAAUCCAGUCUUGUCUUUCAAAUAUAAAAGUUCUGGGUCUGACAGAUUCCAUGUAAGGCUCUGCAUUUUGUUUUUAUUAAUCUUAUAUCCUGAAACCAUGCCUUAAUGAUUUAUAUGCUCCAUUAUUGUUCUUGAUCUCUGAAUCACUUUAAAGGUCUUACCUUAUUCUAUGUUUCAAGAGAUGUAAUCAUGCAUUGUUCUUUUACUAUCUUAAAUAAAUAAAUAA